UCUGGCAGUGAUGACACACUUGCCCUCCCUGAGAGAGCUGCUCAGUAAUGAGAACCUCACCAUGUGCUCAGAUGAGCUUAAGCCAGG
ensembl:snoRNA